AUCUUUUUUUUUUUUUUGUAUUGAAUAUUAAAAAGAAAAAUUUUACUUUCUGAACCAAAAAAAAAAAAAAAAAAUAGAGGGUGUUUUUGUUAUGUUAAGAUAGGAAUGGAAUUUGAGAGUUUUGUCCAAAACUCUCUCCAACUACUUGGGUUUUGGGGAAUUCUACAUUUUAAGAAAUGAUUUCAAAAUUUUCAUUUCAAUAGUAUUAAUCUAAACAAUUUCAUUUAAUAUGGGUCCAUUCCAAAUCAUGAUUUCGAAACCCUUUUACCAAAUGCCAGCAUAGUUACUGGACUAACCCUCACAAUUAUAAAAUUAUCUUGUUGUAGAAAUUUUUUUUUUUUUUUUGGGAAAAGCUCUAGUGUCAAAAAAAAAAACCCCCCGACACCAAGAAAAGAGAGAAAAUACUACUACUACUACUACAAAUGAUUAAACUCCACGCGCCCAGUAGAUAAAUAAGCGAACAAACAAAAGAUUAACUAAAAAGAAGGUAAAAAGUCAUCAUCUGGACAAAGUUCAUCCAACAAUGGCCCACAUCACCUGACAGACCAUUGGUAUUACUCCACGCUGAGACCUGAGUACUCCCCCGCUAUAUCUCCGGCCACGCUUCCUCCUCUCUCCCUCUGUUUCCGCAUUCCCACACGCAACCCCGAAAGUCCCACCAAACUGAUGACUUCCUCAAAACGCUCCGACGACGCUCCUCCGUCGCCCCGCUUUCCACAAUCUUACUACCAACAACUCCCGUCGGACCCCCACCAGCAACCCCAACAACCUCAGUACAUCAUUCUUUUACCCCGUUACUACAACAACCGCCGCCCUCGGUUACACCUCAGCCGCACUUGGCGACGCUGUUUGAUCUGCCUACUCACUCUCGUCCUCCUGGGUCUAGCCGUCUUCCUCCUGUGGCCAUCCGACCCGGAGGUCUCCAUCGUCCGUCUCCGCCUCGAUCACUUAGGCAUCCACCUAUUUCCCAUACCCUCCCUCGACAUAACCCUAGACGUCACUGUCAAGAUUCGGAACAGAGAUUUUUUCUCCAUUGACUAUAAAUCCCUUAUUGUUGCGAUCGGGUACCGGGGGAAGCAGCUAGGCUACGCCACCUCGGAUCACGGCCAUAUUAAAGCUAGGGGUUCGUCGUAUGUUAAUGCUACGGUUCACCUGAGCGGCGUCAACAUUUUGUCGGAUAUGCUUCUGUUAAUUGAGGACUUAGCUACGGGAGAGAUAACGUUCGAUACGGAUACGAAAAUUGGUGGCCAGCUCGGCCUCGCCUUCUUUGAGAUUCCUCUCCAGAAGUAUAUGUCCAAUAAUGCCUUCAAAGAACACGUCCAUUUUAAGUUGCGUGGGUUGGGCUGCCUGGUCCUCCUAUUCUUCUGUUACAGAAGCAUAACUCCAAGGAAGACGUAACAAAUGGGACUUCAUGAUUAGCCUUUUCAUGCUUCCCCAGAUGAUAUGUGCCCCUGAUUUAUGAUGUGCUUGCUUAUGGUGUUCUGCAGGGGAAAGUGUCAUGUGAGAUUAAUGUAAAUAUCCACAAUCAGACAAUCGAGCACCAAAACUGUUACCCUGAGUGAUUAUGAUUAAGCUUGGAGACCACCACAUGCAGCAGCUCCAGAGUUGGCUUUGACAAACUCCCGUUCCUCAUUUAGUAUAGAGGUCUACGAUGAGUGAGAGAUUUGGGUUUGGAUCCCCUGUUUUAGCUAACUGAUAGCUGUCUUUACUACUAGAUUAUGGCGUAUUACAUUCCCUACAGCUACGGGGAGAAAAAAAAAAAAAAAAAAACUAAGGAUGAUGCUGCAGCAUAUGUAUCACGUAUAAACUACGUUAGAUUUGCCUGUAUAUGAACCUUAUGUAGACUAGCAGUGUAUAAUUUGUAAUAGAAACCACCAGUUUGUCGAGCGUA